GGCCCAAACUUGUAGUAGAUUCGUUUAGUAGGGUCAGCCAAUCCUACUGAUCUACUCUACUUCGAGUUUGGGCCU
rfam:Haemonchus contortus, ISE/inbred ISE, WGS project CAVP01000000 data, contig: Hcontortus_contig_pathogens_Hcontortus_scaffold_5066